CUGAUUGGUUAGAAAGAUCAGCUUUAUUUAGUUUGUGAGAAGCUUGUAGCGUGUAGUGAAUUGCAGGAGUUAAGAAUUAUUUUUGAGGCUGGCUACCAUACCUCCUACAGAGACUACAGGGACUUAAAAAUUUUAAGGAUGCUCAUGAUCACUAGCCAACAUUUUUAAUCAAUGCAUUGAUGAAUUAAUUAUCUUCUGUUCUUGCUCAAGAGACAUACUCUUUUGGCGAUGAGCUCACUCCUGGAACCACAUCAUGAGAGGUAUUUUUCUUCAACCAUUGCUGAGAUAAAGUUCUACACAUAAGAACCACUCCUGGAAAAGACACAUCUCUGGGCUGACCAAAGAUCAUAAUCCAUCUCUGUGCAACAUGGAAGACAAGACACCUCUAAGAAAAAACAUGUAUCUCUCUAUUUGUGGCCAUCAAAAUCCAGUCCAUGCGUUUUUUGUAAAUGCGACUUCAUCUCCCAGUAUCAGAAGGAGUGAAAAUCCAGAACUUUUACUGAACUUGAAUUUCAAUGUGAACAGCAAGAUUUGAAUAGAAACACUUUACUUUG
ensembl:lincRNA